rnacentral:rRNA from 1 species
CAGUCGCCGCGGUAAUACGUAGGCGGCAAGCGUUGUCCGGAAUUAUUGGGCGUAAAGGGCUCGCAGGCGGUUUCUUAAGUCUGAUGUGAAAGCCCCCGGCUCAACCGGGGAGGGUCAUUGGAAACUGGGAAACCUGAGUGCAGAAGAGGAGAGUGGAAUUCCACGCGUAGCGGUGAAAUGCGUAGAGAUGUGGAGGAACACCAGUGGCGAAGGCGACUCUCUGGUCUGUAACUGACGCUGAGGAGCGAAAGCGUGGGGAGCGAACAGGAUUAGAUACCCCCGUAGUCCCUGUCUCUUAUAC